rnacentral:rRNA from 1 species
GACGAACUGUUCGAACGUUAUUCGGAAUCACUGGGCUUAAAGGGCGCGUAGGCUGUUGUUUAAGCGGGGUCUGAAAUCCCUCGGCUCAACCGAGGAACUGGGCUCCGAACUGGACGACUGGAGUGAAACAGGGGCAAGCGGAACUUGCUGUGGAGCGGUGAAAUGCUUUGAUAUUGCAAGGAACACCGGUGGCGAAGGCGGCUUGCUUGGUUUUAACUGACGCUGAAGCGCGAAAGCUAGGGUAGCGAACGGGAUUAGAUACCCCCGUAGUCCCUGAGCGGGCUGG